rnacentral:rRNA from 1 species
UGCGUAGGCGGAUUAAUAAGUCAGUGGUGAAAUCUUUCGGCUCAACCGAGAAACUGCCAUUGAUACUGUUGAUCUUGAGUUCGGUUGAGGUAGGUGGAAUGUGUAAUGUAGCGGUGAAAUGCUUAGAUAUUACACAGAACACCAAUUGCGUAGGCAGCUUACUAGACCGACACUGACGCUGAGGCACGAAAGCGUGGGGAGCGAACAGGAUUAGAUACCCUGGUAGUCC